GGCUGCCUCCUGGACCCAUCAGGUGGACAAAGGACCUCUGCUGCAUAUGUUUCAACGCUCACACUACCUUCUCCUUCACAGAGGCUAGCGAAGAUUAGAAGG